rnacentral:rRNA from 1 species
AACAAACGCUAGCCCACACCCCACAAAACGCAACUAACACACAAACAAUAAAACAAAACAUUUAUCCUAAUUAAAGUAUAGGAGAUAGAAAUUCUAAUAGGAGCUAUAGAGACAGUACCGCAAGGGAAAGAUGUAAGAAGAGUUAAAAGUAAAAAAUAGCAAAGAUUACCCCUUGUACCUUUUGCAUAAUGAUUUAACCAGAGCAACUUGACAAAGAGAACUUAAGCCAAGAAACCCGAAACCAGACGAGCUACCUGAAGACAGCUAUUAGAGCAAACUCAUCUAUGUGGCAAAAUAGUGAGAAGAUCUUCAGGUAGUGGUGAAAAGCCUAUCGAGCCUGGUGAUAGCUGGUUGUCCAGGACAGAAUUUCAGUUCAACUUUAAGUCAUGCCAGACAAAUUUAUAAUUAAAAUGUAGACUUAAAAUAUAUUCUAAAAGGGUACAGCCUUUUAGAGACAGGAUACAACCUUUAUUAGAGAGUAAGUACAAAAACUUUCAUAGUCGGCUUAAAAGCAGCCACCAAUUAAGAAAGCGUUCAAGCUCAACAACCAUAAUAAAAUCUAAUAUAAAUAAUAUACUACGAACCCCUAAUCCAAUACUGGACUAAUCUAUUAUACUAAUAGAAGCAAUACUGUUAAUAUGAGUAACAAGAACAAGUUUCUCCCCGCACAAACCUAUAUCAGAACGGAUAACCCACUGAUAGUUAACAGCAAGAUAAAUUAAACCUCACAAUCUAGUACUUUAUCAAAUUAACUGUUGGCCCGACACAGGAGUGCGCAAGGGAAAGAUUAAAAGAAGUAAAAGGAACUCGGCAAACACAAACCCCGCCUGUUUACCAAAAACAUCACCUCCAGCAUAUCAAUUAUUGGAGGCACUGCCUGCCCAGUGACAUCUGUUAAACGGCCGCGGUAUCCUGACCGUGCAAAGGUAGCAUAAUCAUUUGUUCUCUAAAUAAGGACUUGCAUGAAUGGCCACACGAGGGUUUUACUGUCUCUUACUUCCAAUCAGUGAAAUUGACCUUCCCGUGAAGAGGCGGGAAUACACAAAUAAGACGAGAAGACCCUAUGGAGCUUCAAUUAAUCAACCCACAAAUUAACAAAACACAAUUCCAAGGAAUACAAACCCCAUUUAAAUGGGUUGACAAUUUAGGUUGGGGUGACCUCGGAACACAAAAUAACUUCCGAGUGAUAAAAUUCUAGACUAACAAGUCAACAAACUAUAAUCAUUUAUUGAUCCAAAAUUUUUGAUCAACGGAACAAGUUACCCUAGGGAUAACAGCGCAAUCCUGUUUGAGAGUCCAUAUCGAUAACAGGGUUUACGACCUCGAUGUUGGAUCAGGACAUCCCAAUGGUGCAGCCGCUAUUAAUGGUUCGUUUGUUCAACGAUUAAAGUCCUACGUGAUCUGAGUUCAGACCGGAGCAAUCCA